GCCGCCCGGUUACCGGUAGCCAGCGCAGACCCUUCCUGAUGCGGCAACCUGCCAGCCCAGCGCGCCCCGGUCACGCCGCCGGAAGCCGCCUGGACUCCCCCGGAAACGGAAGUCAGGGGGCGCCCUCCCAGAAGCUCUGAGCUAGGGACGGGCCCUGGUGACAGUCGUGGAGAGAGCAACACGCGCCUGAAGGUCUGUGCGCGCUGACGCCGGGCAGGGGAAUGGAAAUGAACCAGCACAUAGUGUAUCGAUUCUUUCUCAGGCUCGUAACAUUACGGAAUCCCUGUUGAAGUGCAAGCUGGACUGGUGGAAAUCAGAUUUCCCAUAUCUUCUCAAAGGCUGUUUGUCAAGAUUGGAUGCCUGGAGAGAGAGACCGAGACAGAAGACAUACACAGAGACUGACUGACUUGUAUCUUUGAGAAAAGAAGGACACAGAAAAUUGCAGGGUAACCAGACCCUGUCUGAGAGAGAAUUCUUUCUUUGUGCUAACAGUGGAGAAAUGCGGGGCUGUCAUAUGAGGAGCAGUCUUACUCUUUGUGUAUCAGGCAAGGAAACUGAGCCCCAAAGAAGCUCACAACCUCCCCUAGCUCCCAUGGCUGAGGCUGGAAGUCCAAGAUCAUGAUGCCAGCAGAUUUGGUGUGGCUGGUGAGGACCCACUUCCUGAUUGGUAGAAGGUAUCAGUUUCGUGAGUUGGUUUAACCCAGUGGACUGCACCUGACCCCAGGGAAUUCUUCAGAGUUUCUUCAGGAAUAAGAGGCUACAAAUAGAAAUGGCAAGCCCCAGAAAGAUGCUUUGCAGCCUUCAAGGACUGAGCAUGGAGAUUCCAGAAGAAUCUUCUGAUUCUAAGAAGGUCCGAGUGUGGAGGGAGAGAAUCCUAAACAGUAGGCUUUGAGCUCUGUUCCUCACUUACAGUAGCAGUUGCCACUCACUGAAGCUUGGAGGGAGAGCCAUGGGGCAGAACAUGGUGAACAUGAGGAUAAGAGUAUGGAGUCAGGCUGCCCAGAUUCAAAUCCCAGACCUGCCACUUACUCCCUAUCUCCCAUGCUUGUUAUGUAAUUUAAGGUAAUAAAGAUAGAAUGGUCAGCAUAAAGUGUCUGAACACAGUCUCCUUCCUUUCUCCCACAACGUUUUCAUUCCAUUAUACUUGGAAUAGUUAACAUGAGUGUAACUUCUUUGGGUUGGCAAAUUAUGGCUGGUGCCUGGGCUGAGUCCCUGUCCUGAUUCUCUGUGGAUUAUUCGGAAGAAGAGGAAAGUCUCACAAAAGAAAGGAGGGAGGGCCUUUGGGCACAGAAGAGGAAUAGGGCUUUUUCCCUGGACUAGUAUUUAUUGAGGAGGCACCAUGUGCCGGCCCCUCUCCUGGGUGCUGGGUUUAUGAAGGUGAUUAGGACCCAGACACCAUUCCUAAGGAGUUCAGAUACCAACUUGGAAGCAGACAAACGGGUAUGUAAAUAGUGCACUGGGUCCCAUGACAAGGCAGACACACAGAGUUUGGGAGCAUGUGACCAUGGGUAUAACUGUUUUUGACAUUUCUCCCCUCCCAGAGUGGGUGACACUUCCAUGGCUCCUAGAUUUUUUUAUAGCGUACAGGCAUACUGUUGGUAUUCACUCUUAAUUAAUAUGCAUAAUAUUAGAACAGGGCCUAUCAUGUAAAAAAAUCCUCAAAAAGUGUUAAAUUAAUGGGCAUAAAGCUUCAAUUAUGCACUAUGAGUAAGUUCUAGAGGUCUGCCCUACAACAUAAUGCUUAUAGUUGACAAUAUGGCACUGUAUUGUGCACUUAAACAUCUGUUAAGAGAGUAGAUUUUUUUUUUUUUUUAAGUUUGAGAGAGGGAGAGAGAGAGUGCACAAGAUGGGGAGAGGGACAGAGGAUGAGAGAGAGAAUCCUAAGCAGGCUCCCUGGUUGCAGGGCUCGAUCCCAGGACCCAGGGAUCAUGACCUGAGCCGAAAUUGAGUCAGAUGUUUAACCAACUGAGCCACCCAGGUGCCCCAAGAGAAUAGAUCUUAUUUUAAGUGUUGUUACAUUAAAAACAAAACAAAACAAAACCAAAUCAAAACAAAAAAAAAGUGAAGAAAAAAAUAGAGGAUAUGCUACAGCUCAUGAGUGCCCAGAACAAAUAUAUGACUUCUAAAAUUUAUCAUGUACUAUUCACUGCAUUUCAAAGUGAAAAACUGUGGGAGAAAGAAAGUGUCAGCUAUUGCAAAUAUAUUUUUUGAAAGUUUAUUUAUUUAUUUUUGAAAGAGGGAGAGCACAAGCAGGGGAGGGGCAGAGGGGGGGGGGAACAGAGGAUCUGAAGCAGCCUCUGUGCUGACAGCAGGGAGCCCGAUGUGGGGCUUGAACCCAUGAACUGUGAGAUCAUGACCUGAGCCGAAGUCAGAAGAUACACUGACUGAGCCAACCAGGCACCCCUCAGCUAUUAUAAAGGUUACCAUCCUUGAUUGUUGUUUACUGUCUUUUACCGACCAGAAUUCUGAGGUUCUGAAAGGUGAAGCACCUUGCCUGGGAUCACACAGCUGAGUAUGGGCGUCUUAGUUACUAGCAACCACGUCUCUGGAGUUCCAGCCUACUGCUCUGGGACAUUCUCAGAGUGGCUCACUAGGUGGCGCUCUUCCCCCGGGAGAGGAACUGACCAAGGCCCCAGCCAUAGACUAGCCUUUUCUCAUUAGAACCUAGCACUCUAGAGCAAACAGGGAUUUAGAGAGACAGAGGAAUAAAGGUCUAAAAGUAUGUCUCUGUGCCCAGAGUCAUCCACGGUCACAGGGUGGUACUGGGGCAGUGUCCUAGUUGGCUCAAUUCCAAAUCUCCUUUGUUUCCCAUGUGGCAUCCCUUGCCCACAUCCCUAUAGCUGCUUCUGGACCCUUUCUUACAGAGCUAGGUGCUUCCCUGUUGGGCAGUUGCUAUGCUCUGCUAUCUGGGUGUGGAGAAGGUAUUUAGAAACUGGGCAGGGGUUUGAGGCAGGCUGGUGGACCCCACCCCCUGGCCAUUUCUUAUCCUUUUCUAGAGUCCUUCAGGGGCAGUAUGUGUACUGCUCAGGGCAGAGACCCUGGAACCAUAUCACCCUUUGUCCAAACUCUCAUCCUCAUCCUCCUUUUACCAGCUGUGUGCCUUGGGCAACUGGUGAACCUCUCUGUCUCAUUUUCCCAUCUAUAAAAUGGGAAUAAUAGAAUACCUAUCAUAUAGGGUCUUUGUGAGGAUUGAGUUAAUAUAUGGAAAGCACUUAAAAUAGCUAUAAGCAUGUGGUAAGAGCUAUAGAAGUGUUUGGUCUCAGUAUUAUAAUUCACUAGCAUCCUACAGGGAUUUAAGAGUUUACGCAAGAAUGCCAAUAAAUGUCAUCAUACUCCUCACCUAUUCAGUCAUCCUAUAAUAUGCUUUUCAUAAUAAUGACUGCCAUCUACUUGCAGUUAUGCUGUGCAGUAGGCUAAACCUAGGAUUUCAAUACCUCAGUUAAUCCACAGAACAACCCUAUGUUACUAUUCCCAGCGCAGGGUUGAGGCUUUGAUAGGACUAAGUCGUUUACCUAGGAUCACACAGAAAGCAACAGACCUGGGACUCAAGCUCAGACCUGUCUGAUGAAGCUUUUUACCACUACACCAUUGUACCUUCUAUUCAAGUCAUUUACAAACACCAAAACUAGCCCCCAGAGGAGCCCCAGGCAUCAGCUAUGCUCACAGUGCAGAAGUCAUCCUUCUCUGGGGUGAGGUUUCUUAUCACUCUUAUCCUGGGAGACAAAGGGGCAGAUUUCAUAGAUGCCUCCCUACUCCCCUGCAAAGACACAACAUGCUUUGACUGACAAAGAGGCCUCUUUAGAUUAGAGGUGAGUUAGCCACGCAGCCUUCAAGGGCCAUCUUCCCCCAUCCUGUUUAUUCUGAAGCUUGCAGGCUUGGCUCUUACUUGGGCAGGUGGGGAGCCUUAGUCUCAGGCAUGUGAGUUCACUUGAGUUCUAGGCGGUCCAGGAUGUAACACAAGCUCUCAGUGACUCAGGCCAGCCUAUCUGGGAUUUUUCCUCUCUUGGCAUGUGAGAGAGUCUGUACAGCGUUGACAUCUUUUAGCCAAGAAAGAAACAGCAGGCACCAACCUACAAUUGCAGAAUCAUAGAAUGUCAGGGCUGGAAGGGACCAUUGGAUGUGGAAAUAAGGAUCCUGAGGAGGGAGGGGUUUUGCUUUGGAUCACAUCAAGCAGGAAGGACAGUGGCCAGAUUUAAGCCUUUACUUGUCCUUUAGUACCCUUCCCACGACCCUCAGCAUCCAGGAAUACUGAGAAGAGGCCCGAGUUGGGAUGAGGGUGGUGGCAAUGUGCAUUCCGUCUACUGAGCAUAUGUGCAUUCAGCCAGUUGACUUUCUCUUGAGAGCGUAUGUGAUGAUCCUCUAUAAGUUUCUAAGCCCCAGCACUAUUGGCAUUUAGGGCUGGCUAAUUCCUUGUUGUGGGAGCUGUUCUGUGCAUUGUCCGAUGUUUAGCAGCAUCUUCAGUCUCUACCCACUAGAUGCCAGUAGCAGACCCCCGUUUUGUGACAACCAAAAAUGUCUCCAGGCGUUGCCAAAUGUCCCCUGAGGACCAAAAUUGUUCCCCUUCCUGCUCUCCACUCCUGUUGAAAACCAGUGCUCUAAAAGCCGGCUCUUCCCUUCCAGAAAGAUGUAUCAAGAGCCUGCUGUGAGCUAUGCUGUGCUGGCACAUGAUUCAAGCAGGGGCUCUGUCCUUAAAGAACGUAGAGACUAGCUGUGAAGACAAGGCCGCACAGGUGGCAAAGUUUGGGAAGCCCCUCCACAGAGACAAGAAGUAGGUACUCUGAGGAGCACAGGGGCAGACCACACUGACUGGGGAGAUCCAAGAAAGCUUCAGGUAAGGACGUGGGGAUUUUCUAGGCAGACAGAGCAAGUGAGGGACAUUCCAGGCAGAAAGAAUGGAAUGUACGAAGGUAAAGAGUUGUGAGAUGUGACGUGCUGCGGGAAAAAGUAUUUUAGUGUGACUGUCCUCUAGAGUGCAUCUGGGAAGUAGUGGGGGAGGAGGCUGGAGAGAGGCAGUAGGGAUGAUGAUAAUGACGACAGUUCACACAUAUUAAGCACUUACUAUAUGCCAGAUACUGCUCCAAGUAUCUUACAUGUAUUGUGUCUUAAUCUUCACAACAAUCCUUUAAGAAGCUACUAUUAUUACUUCUACAGAUGGGGAAAAUGAUGCACAGAGAGAUUAGGUAAUUUGCCCAAGUCACACAGCUUGGGAAGGUUAUGGAAGUUUGGUUAUGGUUAUACCA